AAACGUAGGAGACGAGCGUUAUCCGGAUUUACUGGGCGUAAAGCGCGUGCAGGCGGUGGUACAAGUUGGGCGUGAAAUCUCCCGGCUCAACUGGGAGGGGUCGUCCAAAACUGUAUCACUUGAGGGCAGGAGAGGGAAGCGGAAUUCCCGGUGUAGCGGUAGUAUGCGCAGAUAUCGGGAGGAACCCCAGUGGCGAAGGCGGCUUCCUGGUCUGUUCCUGACGCUCAGACGCGACAGCUGGGGGAGCGAACGGGAUUAGAUACCCCGGUAGUCCCAGCAGUAAACGAUGGAUACCAGGCGUUGGUGGGGACCACCCAUCUGCGCCGAAGCUAACGCGUUAAGUAUCCCGCCUGAGGAAUACGGCCGCAAGGCUAAA
rnacentral:rRNA from 1 species